UGAGGGAAUAUUGGGUCAAUGGGCGAGAGCCUGAACCAGCCAAGUAGCGUGCAGGACGACGGCCCUAUGGGUUGUAAACUGCUUUUAUAAGGGAAUAAAGUGAGUCUCGUGAGACUUUUUGCAUGUACCUUAUGAAUAAGGACCGGCUAAUUCCGUGCCAGCAGCCGCGGUAAUACGGAAGGUCCGGGCGUUAUCCGGAUUUAUUGGGUUUAAAGGGAGCGUAGGCCGGAGAUUAAGCGUGUUGUGAAAUGUAGACGCUCAACGUCUGCACUGCAGCGCGAACUGGUUUCCUUGAGUACGCACAAAGUGGGCGGAAUUCGUGGUGUAGCGGUGAAAUGCUUAGAUAUUAGGAGGAGCACCAGUGGCGAAGGCGGCUUUCUGGACUG
rnacentral:rRNA from 1 species